CAGCCGCCACGGUAAUACGUAGGGUGCAAGCGUUAAUCGGAAUUACUGGGCGUAAAGCGUGCGCAGGCGGUUCUAUAAGACAGAUGUGAAAUCCCCGGGCUCAACCCGGGAACUGCAUUUGUGACUGUAGAGCUGGAGUGCGGCAGAGGGGGAUGGAAUUCCGCGUGUAGCAGUGAAAUGCGUAGAUAUGCGGAGGAACACCGAUGGCGAAGGUAAUCCCCUGGGCCUGCACUGACGCUCAUGCACGAAAGCGUGGGGAGCAAACAGGAUUAGAUACCCCCGUAGUCCCUGUCUCUUAUAC
rnacentral:rRNA from 1 species